rnacentral:lncRNA from 1 species
UGGAUAUCUACCUUCCCUUGAUACACACUUAACAGUUCAGGUACUUUGCCAAGAUAUCCGUUCACAAAAUUCUCCAAGAACUGCUUCUCUGCCGGUUUCAGCAGAGAACCCAGAUUCAAGUUCUCAUUUAUGAAACCUUUCGACAACAGAACUUUAACAACAGAGCACCUUGGGAUAAGUCUCUUCUCCAUACUGAGACCGAGGACCACAGGAUAUUUGGCAAUCAUUCCUGACGACCAUCCCAUCUUGUUCACUAAAAGAUCCAUUGCUUGCAUAAGUUUCUUCUCCGAGACAAUCAUACAAAUUGGGUUCUUCCUGAAAGCGGAGAGAAAAUCAUCCUCAGACCAACCCCAUGUCUUAAGAACUUCACGACUUCUAUUCAAUACCAACUUAUUCUUACCACACAAUGCACACAGGGCAUUCACUGAAGUUGAUUUUUCCAGAUUAAAUCCCAUUUCCUUAACCUCACCCACAAGUUGACCAAAUUUUUCAGGAUUUAACAUCAAAGCGGGAGUACAGUGAGCUAACAACAAAGAAAUGCAUGGUUGAGGCAUACCCGAUUCUCUCAAAAGCCCAAUAUUUGGAACAACAUGCUUGCGGUGACUUUCCAAGAAAAUCCAUGAGUUGCGUUUUAAAACAGCAACAACAUUUUUCUCAGAGAGCAUACUCCUGAGGAAGUUAUAAGUGGGCAAAAUCCGAUUUCUCAAGCUGGCUGCCAAAAGCUGUGGAUUAAAAGCCAGAGUUUUUAUAAGGUCCACCUUUGAAAUUUCAAGAGAGCUGAAAAACUCAAGCUUUGGCAAAAGGGUUUUCUCAGGAUCAGCUGAAAGAAGUUUUGGAUGUGACCUAAUAAGCUUUGAUAUCUGGGUUUGAGAUGCUCCAUAGUUUCUCAGAAGCUCUAAAACGGAGUCUGCUCUUUCUGGUGACUUCAACUCGACCCACUUAGAAGCUGAAAUCGCUCCUUCUGGGGACAACCCGCAAGUGUUUAUGAGGUAAGUGACUGUGAAAUUGUGUUGGUUUUCUGAGAUUUCUGAGGUGAUGUGUCUGCAGAGCAACUGACUCUGAAGAGAAAAAUGUGAGGGUUUUGGAUCUCCAACCAACACUCUGUUUGUUUUGGAAGCAAAUGUACAAGAAAAUAUUGAGUGAACCAAUCUGAAGGUCUUCAAAUUGCAGAGUUGAAUCAUGUUAGAGGUUGAUGAUGAACAAUUUCUACAGGAAAACUUAAAGCCCUAGCUGAUUCUCUGCCUUCAGAAAAUAUGCAGUUCUCGGCAUUCUAAAAAGAUCUGAACCAUCCAAAUAAAAUUGCCUGGUAUAGGAUAAACCAUUGCAGCUAGGGUAAGUUUUCUUACCAUUUUCACAACUGACGGUCACUGGCUUACUGCUGCUAUCCAUGGUGGUAGGAAAUAUUCUGCCAGAAAAACCUCUUCAGUCUUCAUAGGUACAAAUCAAAGCAAAGCAAUUACUCCAAUCCCAGGCAAUAAGAAAACCCAAAAAAAGGGGUUGAAUUUCAAACUUGAAAACAGUCGAGGGCAUUUGUUUCUUUGGGACAAAGGGCGAAGAACAUUAGGGCGAUGAUGCUGUGGUUUAUAGACGCUCGACGUGGUUACUCUCAG